rnacentral:rRNA from 1 species
UACGUAGGGGGCUAGCGUUGUCCGGAAUCAUUGGGCGUAAAGAGCGCGUAGGCGGUCCGAUAAGUCGGCUGUGAAAGUCAGGGGCUCAACCCUUGAAAGCCGGCCGAUACUGUCGGACUAGAGUCCGGAAGAGGCAAGUGGAAUUCCCGGUGUAGCGGUGAAAUGCGCAGAUAUCGGGAGGAACACCUGUGGCGAAGGCGGCCCCCUGGUUGGAUACUGACGCUGAUACGCGAAAGCGUGGGGAGCAAACAGG